GUACGUACAAGCAGUGGGAGCACGCUUCGGCGUGUGACUGCGUACCUUUUGUAUAAUGGGUCAGCGACUUAUAUUCUGUAGCAAGGUUAACCGAAUAGGGGAGCCGAAGGGAAACCGAGUCUUAACUGGGCGUUAAGUUGCAGGGUAUAGACCCGAAACCCGGUGAUCUAGCCAUGGGCAGGUUGAAGGUUGGGUAACACUAACUGGAGGACCGAACCGACUAAUGUUGAAAAAUUAGCGGAUGACUUGUGGCUGGGGGUGAAAGGCCAAUCAAACCGGGAGAUAGCUGGUUCUCCCCGAAAGCUAUUUAGGUAGCGCCUCGUGAAUUCAUCUCCGGGGGUAGAGCACUGUUUCGGCAAGGGGGUCAUCCCGACUUACCAACCCGAUGCAAACUGCGAAUACCGGAGAAUGUUAUCACGGGAGACACACGGCGGGUGCUAACGUCCGUCGUGAAGAGGGAAACAACCCAGACCGCCAGCUAAGGUCCCAAAGUCAUGGUUAAGUGGGAAACGAUGUGGGAAGGCCCAGACAGCCAGGAUGUUGGCUUAGAAGCAGCCAUCAUUUAAAGAAAGCGUAAUAGCUCACUGGUCGAGUCGGCCUGCGCGGAAGAUGUAACGGGGCUAAACCAUGCACCGAAGCUGCGGCAGCGACACUAUGUGUUGUUGGGUAGGGGAGCGUUCUGUAAGCCUGCGAAGGUGGCCUGUGAGGGUUGCUGGAGGUAUCAGAAGUGCGAAUGCUGACAUAAGUAACGAUAAAGCGGGUGAAAAGCCCGCUCGCCGGAAGACCAAGGGUUCCUGUCCAACGUUAAUCGGGGCAGGGUGAGUCGACCCCUAAGGCGAGGCCGAAAGGCGUAGUCGAUGGGAAACAGGUUAAUAUUCCUGUACUUGGUGUUACUGCGAAGGGGGGACGGAGAAGGCUAUGUUGGCCGGGCGACGGUUGUCCCGGUUUAAGCGUGUAGGCUGGUUUUCCAGGCAAAUCC
rnacentral:rRNA from 1 species